GUAGCAUAAUCACUUGUCUUUUAAUUAAGGGCUGGUAUGAAUGGCGAGACGAGAAAUUAACUGUCUUAAUUUUAUUGCUCUAAGUUGACUUAUGAGUGCAAAGGCUCAUUUAUUCUCAUAGGACGAUCAGACCCUAUGGAGCUUUAAUUUUUUAAAUUUUUAUACUAAAAAUACUAUUAAUUAAAAGAUUUUUGUUGGGGCGACAAAGAGCUAGUUUAACACUCUUUUUUUUUAACAAUUAUUUAUGACUAAUAGAUCCUCUUAGCUAGAGCACAAGACUAAGUUACCCUAGGGAUAACAGCGUAAUUUUUUUUGAGAGUUCAUAUCGAUAAAAGAGUUUGCGACCUCGAUGUUGGAUCGAAGAAUCAAUAAGGGGUAGUUUUUUUAUUGGAGGGUCUGUUCGACCUUUUAAUCUUCACGUGAUCU
rnacentral:rRNA from 1 species